rnacentral:rRNA from 1 species
GAUGAACGCUGGCGGCGUGCUUAACACAUGCAAGUCGAACGAUGAACCCUAGCUUGCUGGGGGGAUUAGUGGCGAACGGGUGAGUAACACGUGAGUAACCUGCCCUUGACUCUGGGAUAACUGCUGGAAACGGUAGCUAAUACUGGAUAUGACUUCUGGAGGCAUCUUCUGGGAGUGGAAAGAUUUUUUGGUCAAGGAUGGACUCGCGGCCUAUCAGCUUGUUGGUGAGGUAAUGGCUCACCAAGGCGACGACGGGUAGCCGGCCUGAGAGGGUGACCGGCCACACUGGGACUGAGACACGGCCCAGACUCCUACGGGAGGCAGCAGUGGGGAAUAUUGCACAAUGGGCGAAAGCCUGAUGCAGCAACGCCGCGUGAGGGAUGACGGCCUUCGGGUUGUAAACCUCUUUUAGCAGGGAAGAAGCGUAAGUGACGGUACCUGCAGAAAAAGCACCGGCUAACUACGUGCCAGCCGCCGCGGUAA